ACUCCCACCCACCCCCACCCUCCCCAUCUUAUAAUCUGACUCUCUCAUCUGUAGUUCCUCAGACCAUAAAUCCAGGACUUUUCCCUACUUCCUCUCUUCGUGCCACACAUCCAAACCAUCACUGAAGUCUUGCCAACUCUACCUGCCAAAGAUAUUCCAGACCGUCUGCUACUUACUGUUUCCACUGAUAAAACCAGAGCACAGCCCACCCUCUUAGUUGGACUCCUACAGAACUCCUUAACUGGCUUCUUGGCCUUCACUUUUGCUACCUAACAGUCCAUCCCCCAAGCAGCAGCCAAAGGGAUGUCUAAAGUAUAAUCCAGUAUUAAGUCAAAUCACACAUAAAACCCACAGAUGGCUUCCCCUCAGUACCACGAUAAAAUCCAGAUUCCUGCCAUAUCCCUCCAGACCCUACGUGAUCUGCUCCCUGCCCACUCUCCAGUCUCACUUCUACUCUCUACCCCUCCAUUACAACACACUUCUGCCAUGCGAGGCUUCUUUCUGCCCUUCGAACAUUUUAAGCUUGUUCCAAGCAUGUUCUCUUCCCAAGAGCUUGCAUUUAUUUAUUGUUGCUUCUGUUUGGAUGCUCUUUCUGCUUCUUGGCUUAUUAGCAGCCUCAUUCCCAUCAGUCAUGUUUCAACUCAGAUGUUAGCUUCCUUGUGGCGUUAUCUGUACCAUCCAGUUUAUGUGUUUAUUGUGUCUCCCCUCAUUAGAAUGUUAGUUCAUUAAAACUAGUUUGUUUUAUUCACUGCUGACCACCCCCUUCCCAGCUCCUUGAUUAGUAUCGGCCACAGUGGGUGCCACAUGACUGAUGAAUAUAGCGUAUAAUAUGUGAAGUCUUAUUUGUUCUAAAUGGUUUUAGAUGUUUUUAAACUUAUCAUUAUUAUGUACCUUCUAGACCUACUAUUGUACACAGAUUCUUAAUUAAGGCAACAAUAGAAGAAAGAAUGCAAGCAAUGCUGAAAACUGCUGAGAAGAGUCACACGAACUCAUCGGUGAAGCACCCAGAGGCCUCCGUCUUAACCUUGGCUGAUCUGGCAGACCUGUUUACCAAAGAAACUGAAGAACUUGAAUGAAGUACACUUGGUUCAAUCCAGACUUUAAUGUAUUUAAAUUUUUCAUAGCUUAUAGAGUAAAGUUAUAAGUAAAAAAUCCAGUAGAUGUCAGUAAAUACUGUUCUUCAUUGAAUGAAUUUCUUUUUUUAAGUUGUAUGGUGUCCUAGUAGUUACUGAGUUCUUUCCAAUUAUCUUGUUUCCAAAAGAUCUAUAAAGAUUUUUAAUUUUACACUCCUAAUAGAACAUUUAUUUUUGUCCCAAAGAAUAUCUAUAUCUGAUGAGGCAAGGGAAUUAAGAGAGGUAAUGUGUACUUUUCUUUUGAUAAGAUCAGUCUUAAAAAGAGUUGAAGUAAGGGAGAGAGUAAACUGGUCUAGUUUCAUACCACCUAGUAUAUUUGACCCACUUAAACUCAGUUUUGGAAGGGCCUUCAGUAUCUUUAGCACAUGAUUCACCAAUAUCUUGGUAGUAAUAUUUUAAGUAGAUGGUGAAUUAUAUUAACUCCUAGUUAUUUGAGUAGCUUUAGACUAUAACUCCAUGCAUACUAACUUUACAGUAAUACAAUUCCUAAUAAUAAGUUAAUAUUAGACAAGUAUUUAUUUUCUCUAUGUUGGUACUAAAAAUUGAAACAUUGAACACUUUUCUUAUUUCUGUGAUGUGUUUAAGUAAUGUCAGUGUAAGCAGUGAACUUUAAAUAGCAUUUUAAGUGUAUCCAUGUUUAUCAUAAAAUUAUCUAAACUGCUUUCUCUACUUUUAAUUUUCCUUAUUGUUUUUACAUAUUUUAAGAUUGAUGUAUCUGUAAAUAUUGCAAUUUUUAUAAUUUUAGUUCUUAAUCAUUAUAACACACAGGUAUGACAGGGUUUUGCUUUUUUUUUUUUUUUUAAUCAUUAUUAUACUGAUGUCUUGGAUUCUUUUCCUUUCCCGUGUUCUUUGGAAACUAGACUUUUAACCACUAGUAUCUAAAUUUGUGAUAAUUUGUUAUUUUAUUUCACUAGGACUUCUCUCAAGGACUAGUAUUUGAUCUUUGGAACAAGAGAAUGUCAUAUUUACAUAAGCAAAUAAUUGCAACCGGUAACAACUGAGUGUUUCUUCUUCUGUGAAGAAUUAAUGGACUUUGAAAUCACUAAAUAAGGAGUAGCUUGUUUUAUCCUAGCCAUUUGAUGUAAUACAAAUGUUCUUGUUUUGUUUUCUUUGAGCCUUCAGAGUUUUAAAAUGACCCUCAGGACUCAUUAGCUCCUACUUAGCUGCCCAGAAAACUGUAAUAGAAAUAUCCCUUCUGUCACAUUUGUCCAAGAAGCUUUGGUGCUUAGUUAAGGUGCAUUUUCUUAUUCUAGGCCUAUAGGGUGACAUAAUUCAACUGAAGAAAACACACACACAUUUUUGGUGCUUAUUCUUCAGUUGGAGGAAGAUAUGCAUUGAUUCUUUUAUAUGAAAUUAAACAAAACUAUUAUUUUUGUAGCUCUUUACAUAUUAUAAAGAGCUUUCCUGUACAUUCACAUUUAGCUUUAAUUUGCCCAACAAUCCUAUGAAGUUGAUAUAACUAAUAUCAUACCUGUUCUAAAGUUAGAGAACCAAGGUUCAGAAAUACAGAGAACUGUGUUUGUGACACAUAGCAAGGAAACAAUGGAGCCCAGGUCCCGUGACUCCCAAUCUCAUGGUCUUUCUCUAAAUCUUAUGUCAUGCUGAUGAGAUUCAGAAGGCCCGUGGUUAUAAUUUAAUGAUGAGCAUAUUUCAGUAUUUUUGUUUGUUUCCUAGUAUUCCUUUUUGAGCUAAAGUUUUAGGGAAUACAAUUUGAUAUGCUUCGAUUUUGUAAAAAAGGAAAAACUAUAUAUAUAUAUAUAUAUACACACACACAUAUAUAUAUAUAUGUAUGUAUACCUAUCUGUAUUAGAGAAAAACUGUUCUUAUUUAUUUCUGUAAGAUAUCAUUAAUUAAAUAAAUAUUUUAGUGGAAAUUGAAAUUUGGGGAUUUAUUAAUUUCUGAGCCAUACGACAUACAGUAUAUUUUCUUGUUUUUUGUUUUGGUCUCUCAACAAAAGGUGUCAAAAUUGUUUAUACUAUAGAAUUCUGUAUUUUAUAGACAUUUAUUAUUUCUUCAAAACAGUUGUAGCAGUUCUUCCAGACAGUUGUUCAAAACAAAUACAGGUCUAAUCCCCACAUCUUCUUGGCUGCAAACAAAGGACUUUCUUGUUUCCUUCUUCCAUCAUUUUAUAUUUUCUGAACUAUCAUUGUGCUCACAAAUAGUUGUUCCGAAGUAGGUGCUGUACUAAUGAACCUGUGAGAAAAAACGAGAUCGUGCCAGUCCUUAAAGAGCUUAAAUGUGUUUGGCUCUGGGGAAGCAUUCUCUGUUAAGUGAAUCUAAGUGAGCUUAGAGCUUGAAAAGAUGGGGUAUAUACAAUGUAAAACACAUGUGCCGAAUUCCAUAAUCCUUUGCCUCAAACCCAGAUAGCUUCCCUGUUUAUUGCAGCUUCAACUUUUCUCUUGGUAUGUGAUUGCUGCAGAAUGAUCCAUGUGUUUGGUUUUUUAAGGAUUCCUUCUUUUCAUGUCAAUAACAAUAAACUAAAAACGAUCGACAUUUGAUAAUUGAA